UACGUAGGGUGCAAGCGUUGUCCGGAAUUAUUGGGCGUAAAGAGCUCGUAGGCGGUCUGUUACGUCGGCUGUGAAAACCUGGGGCUCAACCCCGGGCCUGCAGCCGAUACGGGCAGACUAGAGGCAGGUAGGGGAGAAUGGAAUUCCCGGUGUAGCGGUGAAAUGCGCAGAUAUCGGGAGGAACACCGGUGGCGAAGGCGGCCAGCUGGGCCGUCCCUGACGCUGAGGCGCGAAGGCGUGGGGAGCGAACGGG
rnacentral:rRNA from 1 species